rnacentral:rRNA from 1 species
UACAGAGGGUGCGAGCGUUAAUCGGAAUUACUGGGCGUAAAGCGCGCGUAGGCGGCUUUGCAAGUCGGGUGUGAAAUCCCCAGGCUUAACCUGGGAACUGCAUUCGAGACUGCAUUGCUAGAGUAUGGGAGAGGGAAGUGGAAUUUCCGGUGUAGCGGUGAAAUGCGUAGAUAUCGGAAGGAACAUCAGUGGCGAAAGCGACUUCCUGGACCAAUACUGACGCUGAGGUGCGAAAGCGUGGGGAGCAAACAGG